rnacentral:rRNA from 1 species
GACGAACGCUGGCGGCGUGCUUAACACAUGCAAGUCGAACGGAAAGUCCCUGCUUUUGUGGGGUGCUCGAGUGGCGAACGGGUGAGUAACACGUGAGUAACCUGCCCUUGACUUUGGGAUAACUUCAGGAAACUGGGGCUAAUACCGGAUAGGAGCUCCUGCUGCAUGGUGGGGGUUGGAAAGUUUCGGCGGGUGGGGAUGGACUCGCGGCUUAUCAGCUUGUUGUUGGGGUAGUGGCUUACCAAGGCUUUGACGGGUAGCCGGCCUGAGAGGGUGACCGGACACAUCAGGCCUGAGAUACGGCCCAGCCUCGAACGGGAGGCAGCGGUGGGGAAGAUUAUACAAUGGGCUGGGGCCUGGUCCGACAACGCCGCGUGCGGGAAGACGGCAUUGGGGUUGUAAACCGCAUUCGCCUGUGACGAAGCGUGAGUGACGGUAAUGGGCGAAGAAGCACCGGCUAACUACGUG